CUAACACAUGCAAGUCGAGCGGUAGCAUGGUUAGUAGCAAUACUAACUGAUGACGAGCGGCGGACGGGUGAGGAACACGUAGGAACCUGCCCAAGAGAGGGGGAUGACUAAGGGAAACUUUAGCUAAUACCGCAUAAUUCUCUGAGGAGAAAAGUUGCCCGUAAGGGUAGCGCUUUUGGAGGGGCCUGCGUCCGAUUAGUUAGUUGGUGAGGUAAUGGCUCACCAAGACUGUGAUCGGUAACUGGUCUGAGAGGACGACCAGUCACACUGGGACUGAGACACGGCCCAGACUCCUACGGGAGGCAGCAGUGGGGAAUCUUGGACAAUGGGGGCAACCCUGAUCCAGCGAUGCCGCGUGGGUGAAGAAGGCCUUCGGGUUGUAAAGCCCUUUAGGCUGGGAAGAAGUUUAUGGGAUGGAUAAUCCUGUAAAUUGACGGUACCAGCAGAAUAAGCACCGGCAAACUCUGUGCCAGCCGCCGCCGUAA
rnacentral:rRNA from 1 species